GAAUGAAGGCACUCUGUCGAUGGUGGAGGGGGAACUACUUUCUGUUGUGGAAGAAGACAAAGGUGACGGCUGGACAAGAGUACGGAGGAACCUGGAGGAGGAGGGAUAUGUCCCCACCUCCUACAUCAAAGUCUUCCUGGAAAGCAGCGCCAAAGGCUUUGUGCAGAGUAGUCGGCUAGUCUAGCCAGUGAGGACGUCCCGCCACAGGAAGUGAUGUAAAGGAAAGAUUUCUUCACCAGAACAUCAGAUAAAGGCCCUUUAUGACAUCACUAUGUGCACCAGCAGGAGCUACUCGGACGGCUGUGGGAACAAUAAAG